rnacentral:rRNA from 1 species
AAUGAACGCUGGCGGCGUGCCUAAUACAUGCAAGUCGAGCGGCCGGACGAUAAGCUUUCUUCUCUAAUGUUGGCGGCUGGCGGGUGAGUGACACGUACAUCACCAUCUUCUAUUUCGGGGAGGACUUCGGGGAACAGGAGAUGAUAACAGCUCAUAUUUUGAACCGCAUAAAUCAGAGGUUAUACACGGUCUUCGUGACACAUAUAGACGAUUUCGUGCUGCAUUAGUUAGUUGGUAAAGUAACGGCUCACCAAGGCAACGAUGCAUAGCCGACCUGAGAGGGUGAUCGGCCACACUGGAACUGAGACACGGUCCAGACUCCUACGGGAGGCAGCAGUAGGGAAUCUUCCGCAAUGGGCGAAAGCCUGACGCAGCAAUGCCGCGUGAGUGAUGAAGGUCUUCGGAUCGUAAAACUCUUUUAUUAGGGAAGAAAAUAUGUGUAAUUAACUGCGCACAUCUUGACGGUACCUAAUCAGAAAGCCACGGCUAACUUCGUG